UACAGAGGUCCCGAGCGUUGUUCGGAUUCACUGGGCGUAAAGGGUGCGCAGGUGGGUUGGCAAGUUUGAUGUGAAAGCCCCGGGCUUAACCCGGGAAUGGCAUUGAAUACUGCUGAUCUGGAGGAUUGGAGGGGGGACUGGAAUUCUUGGUGUAGCAGUGAAAUGCGUAGAUAUCAAGAGGAACACCAGUGGCGAAGGCGAGUCCCUGGACAAUACCUGACACUGAGGCACGAAAGCUAGGGGAGCAAACAGG
rnacentral:rRNA from 1 species